rnacentral:rRNA from 1 species
CUCAGGACGAACGCUGGCGGCGUGCCUAAUACAUGCAAGUCGUACGCUUCUUUUUCCACCGGAGCUUGCUCCACCGGAAAAAGAGGAGUGGCGAACGGGUGAGUAACACGUGGGUAACCUGCCCAUCAGAAGGGGAUAACACUUGGAAACAGGUGCUAAUACCGUAUAACAAUCRAAACCGCAUGGUUUUGAUUUGAAAGGCGCUUUCGGGUGUCGCUGAUGGAUGGACCCGCGGUGCAUUAGCUAGUUGGUGAGGUAACGGCUCACCAAGGCCACGAUGCAUAGCCGACCUGAGAGGGUGAUCGGCCACAUUGGGACUGAGACACGGCCCAAACUCCUACGGGAGGCAGCAGUAGGGAAUCUUCGGCAAUGGACGAAAGUCUGACCGAGCAACGCCGCGUGAGUGAAGAAGGUUUUCGGAUCGUAAAACUCUGUUGUUAGAGAAGAACAAGGAUGAGAGUAACUGUUCAUCCCUUGACGGUAUCUAACCAGAAAGCCACGGCUAACUACGUGCCAGCAGCCGCGGUAAUACGUAGGUGGCAAGCGUUGUCCGGAUUUAUUGGGCGUAAAGCGAGCGCAGGCGGUUUCUUAAGUCUGAUGUGAAAGCCCCCGGCUCAACCGGGGAGGGUCAUUGGAAACUGGGAGACUUGAGUGCAGAAGAGGAGAGUGGAAUUCCAUGUGUAGCGGUGAAAUGCGUAGAUAUAUGGAGGAACACCAGUGGCGAAGGCGGCUCUCUGGUCUGUAACUGACGCUGAGGCUCGAAAGCGUGGGGAGCAAACAGGAUUAG